AGGAUUCCCCUAGUAACUGCGAGUGAAGAGGGAAAAGCUCAAAUUUGAAAUCUGGUGGUUCUUGUGACCAUCCGAGUUGUAAUUUAGAGAAGUGUUACCCGCGCUGGACCGUGUACAAGUCUCCUCGAACGGAGCAUCAUAGAGGGUGAGAAUCCCGUAUAUGACACGGACUGCCAGGGCUUUGUGGUGCGCUCUCAACGAGUCGAGUUGUUUGGGAAUGCAGCUCUAAAUGGGUGGUAAAUUCCAUCUAAAGCUAAAUAUAGGCGAGAGACCGAUAGCGAACAAGUACCGUGAGGGAAAGAUGAAAAGAACUUUGGAAAGAGAGUUAAACAGUACGUGAAAUUGUUGAAAGGGAAACGCUUGAAGUCAGUCGCGUCUCUCAGAGAUCAACCUGGCCUUUUCGCUUGGUGCACUCUCUGUGGGAUGGGUCAGCAUCAAUUUUGACUGGGGGAAAAAGUCUGUGGGGAUGUGGCACCCUUGUGGUGUGUUAUAACCUGCUUGCAUAUACCUCUGUUGGGAUUGAGGAACUCAGCACGCCUAAAGGCCGGACUUUAGUCACGUACGUGCUUAGGAUGCUGGCAUAAUGUCUUCAAUCGACCCGUCUUGAAACACGGACCAAGGAGUCUAACAUGUGCGCGAGUGUUUGGGUGAAAAACCCAAGUGCGUAAUGAAAGUGAAAGUUGAGACCUCUGUCGUGGAGGGCAUCGACGCCCGGAUCAGAUCUUUUGGGACGAUUCCGAGGUAGAGCGUGCACGUUGGGACCCGAAAGAUGGUGAACUAUGCUUGAAUAGGGUGAAGUCAGAGGAAACUCUGGUGGAGGCUCGUAGCGAUUCUGACGUGCACAUCGAUCGUCGAAUUGGGUAUAGGGG
rnacentral:rRNA from 1 species